UUUCCAGAGAUGGAUUGGUGCCUUCGGGAACUGUGAGACAGGUGCUGCAUGGCUGUCGUCAGCUCGUGUUGUGAAAUGUUGGGUUAAGUCCCGCAACGAGCGCAACCCUUAUCCUUUGUUGCCAGCGAUUCGGUCGGGAACUCAAAGGAGACUGCCAGUGAUAAACUGGAGGAAGGUGGGGAUGACGUCAAGUCAUCAUGGCCCUUACGACCAGGGCUACACACGUGCUACAAUGGCGCAUACAAAGAGAAGCGACCU
rnacentral:rRNA from 1 species